rnacentral:rRNA from 1 species
AGUGAACGCUGGCGGUAGGCCUAACACAUGCAAGUCGAACGGCAGCACAGUAAGAGCUUGCUCUUACGGGUGGCGAGUGGCGGACGGGUGAGGAAUACAUCGGAAUCUACUUUUUCGUGGGGGAUAACGUAGGGAAACUUACGCUAAUACCGCAUACGACCUACGGGUGAAAGCAGGGGAUCUUCGGACCUUGCGCGAUUGAAUGAGCCGAUGUCGGAUUAGCUAGUUGGCGGGGUAAAGGCCCACCAAGGCGACGAUCCGUAGCUGGUCUGAGAGGAUGAUCAGCCACACUGGAAAUGAGACACGGUCCAGACUCAUACGGGAGGCAGCAGUGGGGAAUAUUGGACAAUGGGCGCAAGACUGAUCAAGCCAUACCGCGUGGGUGAAGAAGGCCUUCGGGUUGUAAAGCCCUUUUGUUGGGAAAGAAAAGCAGCAGGUUAAUACCCCGCUGUUCUGACGGUACCCAAAGAAUAAGCACCGGCUAACUUCGUG